rnacentral:tRNA from 1 species
UCCCUGGUGGCUCAGAUGGUAAAGCGUCUGUCUAUGAUGCAGAAGACCCAUGUUCGAUCCCUGGGUUGGGAA